rnacentral:miRNA from 1 species
GGUGAGCAUUCUCAUUUGGCCCUU